rnacentral:rRNA from 1 species
GUCACAGAGGCAGCUUGCUCCUUGGGUGACGAGUGGCGGACGGGUGAGUAAUGUCUGGGGAUCUGCCCGAUAGAGGGGGAUAACCACUGGAAACGGUGGCUAAUACCGCAUAACGUCGCAAGACCAAAGAGGGGGACCUUCGGGCCUCUCACUAUCGGAUGAACCCAGAUGGGAUUAGCUAGUAGGCGGGGUAAUGGCCCACCUAGGCGACGAUCCCUAGCUGGUCUGAGAGGAUGACCAGCCACACUGGAACUGAGACACGGUCCAGACUCCUACGGGAGGCAGCAGUGGGGAAUAUUGCACAAUGGGCGCAAGCCUGAUGCAGCCAUGCCGCGUGUAUGAAGAAGGCCUUCGGGUUGUAAAGUACUUUCAGCGGGGAGGAAGGCGACGCGGUUAAUAACCCUGUCGAUUGACGUUACCCGCAGAAGAAGCACCGGCUAACUCCGUGCCAGCAGCCGCGGUAAUACGGAGGGUGCAAGCGUUAAUCGGAAUUACUGGGCGUAAAGCGCACGCAGGCGGUCUGUUAAGUCAGAUGUG